AGUGAACGCUGGCGGUAGGCCUAACACAUGCAAGUCGAACGGCAGCACAGUAAGAGCUUGCUCUUACGGGUGGCGAGUGGCGGACGGGUGAGGAAUACAUCGGAAUCUACUUUUUCGUGGGGGAUAACGUAGGGAAACUUACGCUAAUACCGCAUACGACCUACGGGUGAAAGCAGGGGAUCUUCGGACCUUGCGCGAUUGAAUGAGCCGAUGCCGGAUUAGCUAGUUGGCGGGGUAAAGGCCCACCAAGGCGACGAUCCGUAGCUGGUCUGAGAGGAUGAUCAGCCACACUGGAACUGAGACACGGUCCAGACUCCUACGGGAGGCAGCAGUGGGGAAUAUUGGACAAUGGGCGCAAGCCUGAUCCAGCCAUACCGCGUGGGUGAAGAAGACCUUCGGGUUGUAAAGCCCUUUUGUUGGGAAAGAAAAGCAGCAGGUUAAUACCCCGCUGUUCUGACGGUACCCAAAGAAUAAGCACCGGCUAACUUCGUG
rnacentral:rRNA from 1 species